rnacentral:rRNA from 1 species
CUACGGGUGGCACCAGUGAGGAAUAUUGCACAAUGGGGGGAACCCUGAUGCAGCAACGCCGCGUGGAGGAUGACACUUUUCGGAGCGUAAACUCCUUUUAUAUAGGAAGAAGAUGACGGUACUAUAUGAAUAAGCGCCGGCUAACUCCGUGCCAGCAACCGCGGUAAUACGGAGGGCGCAAGCGUUACUCGGAAUCACUGGGCGUAAAGAGCGUGUAGGCGGAUUAAAAAGUCAGAAGUGAAAUCCUAUAGCUUAACUAUAGAACUGCUUCUGAAACUCUUAAUCUAGAAUAUGGGAGAGGUAGAUGGAAUUUCUGGUGUAGGGGUAAAAUCCGUAGAGAUCAGAAGGAAUACCGAUUGCGAAGGCGAUCUACUAGAACAUUACUGACGCUCAGAUGCGAAAGCGUGGGGAGCAAACAGGAUUAGAUACCCCGGUAGUC